UUCUCUGUUUUGUGAGUCCGCCAGGUCAGAGGCAGUAGGGACGACCGGGGAUGUUCUCUGUUUUGUGAGUCCGCCAGGUCAGAGGCAGUAGGGACGACCGGGGAUGUUCUCUGUUUUGUGAGUCCGCCAGAUCAGAGGCAGUAGGGACGACCGGGGAUGUUCUCUGUUUUGUGAGUCCGCCAGAUCAGAGGCAGUAGGGACGACCGGGGAUGUUCUCUGUUUUGUGAGUCCGCCAGAUCAGAGGCAGUAGGGACGACCGGGGAUGUUCUCUGUUUUGUGAGUCCGCCAGGUCAGAGGCAGUAGGGACGACCGGGGAUGUUCUCUGUUUUGUGAGUCCGCCAGGUCAGAGGCAGUAGGGACGACCGGGGAUGUUCUGUUUUGUGAGUCCGCCAGAUCAGAGGCAGUAGGAAUGACCGGGGAUGUUCUUGUGAUAAGUGUGUGAAUUGGAUCAUUUUCUGUCCUGCUAAGCAUUCGAAAUAUAACGAGUAAUUUUGGGUGUCAGGGAAAAUGUAUGGAGUAAAAUGGACAUUUCCUUUAGGAAAAUGGAGUAAAAGUUGUCAAAUGUAAAUAGUGAAGUACAGUUACCCCAAAAACUACUGAAGUACUUUACACCACUUAUGUUUCUAAUUAAAUUAUAAAGUUAGCUUUAAAAAAAUGUUUUGUUGCAUUUUUAACCAGCCCAUUUCCUUAGCAGUUAAUGUCAGAGGUCACCAUGUGGGAGAAAUAUAUGCGUUUCCCACUAGUAUUUGCCAAUUGGAGGGCUGUUCAAGUGGAUUUUUCCCCAGUUGUAUGUGGUAAAUGUCUACUUCUAUCUUGCUUAUGAGCGCACCAUGGCACUGCCUCCUACAGUGCCAGAUGUGUGCUUGUGACUCUCAUAAAGGGGGAGUAUCUGUAGCGCGGUACAUCUCCCACUCCUGGUUAAUGUGAUGGGCGGUCACUGUUAAGCGCAACACAGGGUGCACUGGCCACUUAAUUGAAAACUUUGGCUUGCUUAUAUAGAGUGAGUACUACCUGUUUGCUGAGGUGCACGAGGUAAGUUCGUAAUGUGGCUCAAGUACUUUUCACGAGGUGCUGAAACCCCCUAUUCUCAAAUCACUGAGAAGGGGUGCAUAUCCGACUGUAAAAAAUCUAAACAUAGCCUACCUAGCACGCUUGUAAUUUCUUUGGCCUGGUCAGAAUCAGCUGCCAAGUUCUGGUUUAAUGCAGAGGGGUGCUGUUUCUUUGAGUUUGUCUUGCUCCGGUAUACUGGGGUGAUGUCGGUAUAAAUGUGUCAAAAUACAGUGGGUUCGGAAUGUAUUCAGACCCCUUGACUUUUUCAACAUUUUGUUACGUUACAGCCAUAUUCUAAAAUUGAUGAAAUCAUUCCCCCCCUGAAUCUGCACACAUUACCCCAUAAUGACAAGGCACAACCAGGAUUUUAGAAAUUUGCACAUUUUAUUAAAAAUAAACUGAAAUAUUACAUUUACAUUAGAAUUCAGACCUGUUACUCAGUACUUUGUUGACGCACAUUUGGCAGCGAUUAAAGCAUAGUCUUCUUCGGUAUGACACUACAAGAUUGGCACACCUGUAUUUGGGGAGUGUCUCCCAUUCUUCUCUGCAGAUCCUCUCAAGCUGUGUCAGGUUGGGUGGAGAGCGUUGCUGUACAGCCAUUUUCAGGUCUCCAGAGAUGUUCAAUCGGGUUCAAGUCCGGGCUCUGGCUGGGCCACUCGAGCACAUUCAGAGACUUGUGCUGAAGCCACUCCUGUGUUGUCUUGGCUGUGUGGUUAGGGUCAUUGUCCUGUUGGAAGGUGAACCUUCGCCCUCGUCUGAGGUCCUAAUCGCUCUGGAGCAGGUUUUCAUCAAGGAUCUCUGUACUUUGCACUGUUCAUCUUUCCCUCGACCUUGACUAGACUCCUAGUCCCUGCUGAUGAAAAACAUCUCCACAGCAUGAUUCUGACACCAACUUGCCUUUCCGUAGGGAUGGUGCAAGGUUUCCUUCAGACGUGACGCUUGGCAUUCAUGCCGAAGAGUUCAAUCUUGGUUUCGUCAGACCAGAGAAUCUUAUUUUUUAUCAUUUUUGCCAACUCCAAAGGCUGUAAUGUGCCUUUUACUGAGGAGUGGCUUCUGUCUGGCCACUACCAUAAAUGCCUGAUUGGUGGAGUGCUGCAGAGAUGGUUGUCCUUCUGUAAGUUUCUCCCAUCUCCACAGAGGAGCUCUGUCAGUGACCAUCGGGUUCUUGGUCACCUCCCUGACCAAGGCCCUUCUCCCCUGAUUGUUUAGUGUGGCCAGCUCUAGGAAGAGUCUUGGUGGUUUCACACUUCUCCUAUUUAAGAAUGAUGGAGGCCACUGUGUUCUUGGGGACCUUCAAUGCUGCAGACAUUUUUUUGUUGGUACCCUUCCCCAGAUCUGUGCAUCAACACAAUCCUGUCUCUGAGCUGUAUGGACAAUUCCUUCGACUUCAUGACUUGCUUUUUGCUCGGACAUGCACUGCCAACUGUGGGACCUUAUAUAGACAGGUGUGUGCCUUUCCAAAUCAUGUUCAAUCAAUUGAAUUUAUCACAGGUGGACUCCAAGUUGUAGAAACAUCUCAAACGUGAUCAAUUGGAACAGGAUGCACCUGAGCUCAAUUUUGAGUCUCACAGCAAAGGUCUGAAUACUUAUGUAAAUAAGAUAUAUUUCUGCUUUUUUUUAAUCAAACCUGUGUUCACUUUGUCAUUAUGGGGUAUUGUGUGUAGAUGAGGAUUUAGAAUAAGGCUGUAACUUAACAAUGUGGAAAAAGUAAAGGUGUCUGAAUUCUUUCAGAAUGCACUAUAUUUGAGGAGUCUGCAGACUGCUGCAUAGGUGAUUCUCGUUGAGCGUGGAGACAUAAUGGUAACGUUUUGUCCACAACUCUGUCCAUCGCCAUUGUAAUCUAAUGUUCCCAAACUGGAGAUUUAAACGGUGAUUGAGGAUCCUCAAAAUCAGGUUUAUCGACUCCCUACACUCGUCUAUUUUAUAAAGUUUUAAUUCUUACGUUAUUAUUAGUACAGAACUCGUUUUUGACAGCACCUCACAAAAGGACAAUUUCAAAUGUGGCAAUUUAAGAUUAUAAUUAUAAUUACAACGUACGCAUAGGCUCUAGUUGUUUUAAGAGAAUAUCCUGAAAUGUUUUUUCAGAUUUAGUUGAGGCAUAGACCUACAACGCAGUAGGCAUAGCCUAUAGGUCUAGUGUUUUAUAUAUUUUAUGCCAUUUUUGUAUUUUUUUUCGGAUUCACAUUGCGGACUGAAUUGAAGUCCCUGGUACGAAUGUGAACCGUAAACACCCCUAGUUAGCGGCAGGCGGACGACCAAUAUCCACCAUUGUAGUACGGAUGAACCCUGAGCUGGAAUGUGACGCUAGAUCAUUUCAGUAACGCCUCGGUACAUCUAGCUACGUACUGGUCACAGUACAGUUUCUGAUUGCCCCAUGCCUCUCUUUCUCCAUGGACUAUUUGUG